UGAGCCGCAGGAGACCUCGCCCUCCUCCCCCCGCCGCCGUCCCUGCCCUCUUCCUCCCUCAUCCCUUCGCACACGCCGGUGCCAUUGUAGCCCUCGCCCUCCUCUAGCCAUCGCCGUCGGCUCGGCCUCCCCGAGGUUGUCAUAUCGGACCGCCAGGAGGUCGGGCCGACGUGUCCACCGACGCCAACCUCCUCACUGGUGGAUCUUCCCGUCAUGGGACGCUAGCCGGUGCCGUCUUUUUCUCCUUUUUCAUCUCUGCGUGUACCACCGGCUCCCUCUCGCCCAGCUGCUUAGUGCAUUGUUUGAUCUAGCCGGGAUUCGUCAGAUCCGAUUGUCUUGAGCAGCGAUCGCCGCUCAUGGAGCUGGUCAGGCCGUGACCAGAUCAAUUAGGAGCACAUGCCGCAGCCACUGCCCUCUUCUCCUCUCCCUCCAUCUAUGGGCUUCCCUUCUCUUGCUGUCCGUCCUCUACAUCUCACACUUCUUCUUGCCACCCUAUGCCAGAUAUGUACAGUUACAUCGGGUGUGUGCGGCAACAGAGUUGAGGCUGGUGAGAGCGACGACUUGGCCAUGACUACGAUGACAGCACUGACCCAUCGCAAUAGCUGUGACAAAGGUAUGAAGCAAGAAUACAUAAAUGGAUUUCUGCAACAUAUUAGCAGAGGGUGUUUAAAAUCACCAAGAUGCCAGUAGAUCUCUAACACCUGCAGGCUGGUUCAUGAAUCUUUCCUAAUCAUAUUUACCAAUUGACUUACUCUUAGGCUAAUCUUGAUAUAUAUUGAACUAAAUCAAUCCAAAUAAAUAUAUUAGUUUUUACUCUUUGCAUAGUCAACAAUUGGUGGACAAGUCCAGAUAUUAUAUAUGGUGAUAUAUUUGUGUUCUUUGGGAGAAGCAGUGAAAUCAGUCAUUGCACACAUGGUUUGGCUUCGCUUCCUUCAGAUCUAUUCAUGCAAUGCCUUUUCACAUAGAAGUACAACAAAAUGGUUAUCAUGCAUUGUAUGGUCCUGAUUGAGGGGGGUUUUUUUUUUUUGCAUCUUUGCCCUUGCCCCAGGCGACUUCUGUCUCUGGUGAGGUUUCAGUAAUUUUUGUUUCAUUGUUCUCAGCCUUAUUCUUAUCUCCUAUCAGGUUUUAUUUAGGCCUAUUGUCUUGCUUUGUGGUUUAGAUGUAUGUUGUUGAUUCACUUGUGAUUCAUCGUCUCUAUUUUAUUAUGCUCAUGCAUUCCUCCUCUGCUGUUUACUGUUACCCAAUACUCAAAAUUAUAAUGAUAUGUUGUUUUCUGGUUCAACGUCAUUACAAUAACUGUUUGUUAAUUCAUUUAGUAUUCAGCUUUGGAAAAAAAAGGAAUAAGAUUAGGCUAUAAAUUACUGCAAUAGUAAGAGUGAUAGUCCUAUAUUUUUGCUAUUUGGUGCUCUUUUCUUCUUUGCAGUUGGUUAGACAUGCAAGAAAUGAUGCUUAAUUCAGUCCAUGACUCUGGAUGUAUAAUGCCAAAAUAAUUGAUAUAUUGGAUUGCUGGUGCUUUUGCUAGAUUAAUUAUAUGUUGUAUGAUCAUGUCCAACAAAUUAAAAUACCAUAGGCACCAUGAUAAUGGUAUUCAAUGCGCCACAAUUCCUAUACUAUUGCGAUAUGCUUGCAACUCAUAUGCAUCAAGCUUCACAAAAGUCGCUGGAUAUCCAUUCUAUUGAACAACUGGUGUUUGCUAAUAAGAUGGAAGGUCAGUGGAUUUAAUGCAUUCAGAAUCGUGGUGUAUUUGUUUAUCUCAGAGAUGUCAAGAUGCUAUACUGGGAAGUAUUGUAAUGAAUUUAAUUAAAAAGAUAUGGAACUUAAAAAGAUUAGGAAUCAUAUGCAUUUAUUGCUUAUGACACAAAUGUUUAGCUGUAACCUGUAACUGAAACUGACAUUUUUCUAUAGUUUGUCCUUGACAGUACUUUAGUAAUUUUGGCAUGCUUACAGAUAGAUCGUUGGAUUGUUUGUUUGGCGACCAAUGACAACAUAUGCAUGUUUUUUUAACAAUACUAACAAAUUGCAAAUUUUGUGCAGCUGAUCUGUGCACGCAUUUGCUCUACUCUACUCUGUUCCAUUAAGCUCAAGGCAUCAGGCACUGCUCCUAUGAUCCCCCUUUCCCCAGAGUAGGUUGUGUAUAUGCAAUGGUUUGUAGAUCUAUUUCAUCCAAUAUGUGUAACAGGAGAGACAUGCUCGGUGGUGGGCUUAAGAUCUGUAUCUAUAGAAUAGAAUGGUUUUUGUCUUUUUGUUUGCCAUAUGAUGUGAAGACGAAUGAUUUACUGCAAACUGAAGUUAUAUACCUAUAUUAACCUUCAUGAACUGCCUUUGAUGAUGCUAUAAAAUAUUAGCAACAUAUCUUGAUGGUCAACUAUUGGGUAA